UACGUAGGGGGCUAGCGUUGUCCGGAAUCAUUGGGCGUAAAGCGCGUGUAGGCGGUCCGGUAAGUCCGCUGUGAAAGUCGAGGGCUCAACCCUCGAAUGCCGGUGGAUACUGUCGGGCUAGAGUGCGGAAGAGGCGAGUGGAAUUCCUGGUGUAGCGGUGAAAUGCGCAGAUAUCAGGAGGAACACCGAUUGCGAAGGCAGCUCGCUGGGACGUAACUGACGCUGAGACGCGAAAGCGUGGGGAGCAAACAGG
rnacentral:rRNA from 1 species